rnacentral:lncRNA from 1 species
AGGCGGUUGCUCAUCUAUAAGGGCACCGAGUGGCAGAAAAAGGAGGAGGUUUCUUCUCUCCUUCUGACCUAGGUGAGGUCUUGAUCUCCUUAAAGUAUUUUCAUGGUUUUUCUUCACAUCUUUCACGGUUUUAAUGAGUUUUACCCUUGUUUUGAAGAGUUGUGAGCUUGAAACAAGGUUUUGGAGUUUGAAGCUUUUGAAGCUUGGUUUCUCCAUAUCUUUGAGUUUGGAUCAUCUCAGCCUUUGUUCUUCAAGAGGUAAGUGUUGAUCCAUGGUUCUUAUGAUGUUUUUAUGAGUUUUGUAAAGGGAAAAGGGAGCUAGGCAUGAGUUUGCAUGAGAUGUGCAUCAUAGGGUUUAUGAAUCCUUUAUGUUUGAUGUGUGUCUUGUGAGCUUGUUUGUUGGAGUUUAAAGUUAUUUGAAGCUCCCUUAGGCUUGUUGAAGUGUUUAUGCAUGUUUUAGAAGGGUUAAAUGCAUGUGUUGAGGUCUGAACAGGUGAUGGAGGGACUGGCAGGCGUCCUUGUGCACGAAACUGAGUUCUGGCUAAACUCAGGUUCGGCCCCCGAAAGUCCAAGUUAGGCCGCCGAACAUGCUUGACUUUCGUCUCUGGAGGAGACAUUCGGCCGCCGAAGGUGCUGCCGAAGGUGCCCUGUCCAGCCUUCCUUUGCUUGUUUUGCAUGCAUGUUUUGUGAUGUUUUAGAGGGUUUUUGGAGAGAUGUUCAUAGGUAUGUUAGAGUAUGUUGGGUACCUCAUUUACGUCCAUCUGUGUAGGAUUGGACCGAGGAACCGAGGAGGCUCCAGAGUUAGAGUUGGCCCAGAGUUAGCCAGCAUUGGCUAGAGGUGAGUGGAACUAAACUGAAUAUUUUAUUUUGAGAAAUGACACGAUUCUAGCAUGAUCCAUGCAUCAUAAACUGUCAUGUUAUGUAUUAGGUUGUGUUGCAUUAGAAUUCACGAAUAUGAUGCAUUGCAUAUGUUGUUGUUCCUGUGGAUGAAUGUUGGAUGAUCCUUAGCCCUUGACAGAGAGCAGAUACAGAGUUAUGGCAUGAGAUAGCCAUACCAGGUCGCCCCUGGAUAGUCCAGGUCGCUCCUGGUACUAUGAGUGAGACAGCUGGGCUGUCAAAUCAGAGUUAAGUGUAGACCAGGUGAGACCUCGUCUCCUUGGCACAGUUGGUCAUGUUAUGAUAUCAGAGAGAUAAGUGUAGACCAGGUGAUGACAUAGUCUCCUUGGCACAGUUGGCAUUAUUAUAACAUGUAGUUGAGGGUUAUUGGUGACAAAUUCAUCCUUGAGAUGAUAUGUUUGUGAUGUGAUGCAUUUCAUGAGAGCAUGUAAUGAAUGAACUGUUUUUUACUGUUCCUCCUCACUGGGCUGUAGUAGCUCAUCCCACUCCCUUAACCCCAGUUUUGCAGGUUCUGAGAUAGCUAUGGGAAGUUAAAGUCAGCAAGAGUACAGAGGAAAGUUAUGCAUGAAUGUAUGUUUGUAAGAGCAUAGUGGACAUGAUGUAAUUAAAAGAUUAGUUGUAAUGUAAUGUAUAGAUAUGUACUAUCGUAUACUGGAUAGACUUGUGCUUUUCCUAGUAUUAUUGCUAUAGUGUGAUGUAUGAUUAAUCCC